CAGUCGCCACGGGAACACGGAGGGAGCUAGCGUUGUUCGGAAUUACUGGGCGUAAAGCGCACGUAGGCGGCUUUGUAAGUUAGAGGUGAAAGCCUGGAGCUCAACUCCAGAAUUGCCUUUAAGACUGCAUCGCUUGAAUCCGAGAGAGGUGAGUGGAAUUCCGAGUGUAGAGGUGAAAUUCGUAGAUAUUCGGAAGAACACCAGUGGCGAAGGCGGCUCACUGGCUCGGUAUUGACGCUGAGGUGCGAAAGCGUGGGGAGCAAACAGGAUUAGAUACCCGCGUAGUCCCUGUCUCUUAUAC
rnacentral:rRNA from 1 species